rnacentral:rRNA from 1 species
CCUACGGGAGGCAGCAGUGAGGAAUAUUGGUCAAUGUGCGCGAGCCUGAACCAGCCAAGUCGCGUGAGGGAAGACGGUCCUAUGGAUUGUAAACCUCUUUUGUCGGGGAGCAAAAGACGCCACGCGUGGCGUUCCGAGAGUACCCGAAGAAAAAGCAUCGGCUAACUCCGGGCCAGCAGCCGCGGUAAUACGGAGGAUGCGAGCGUUAUCCGGAUUUAUUGGGUUUAAAGGGUGUGCAGGCGGAAGAUCAAGGCAGCGGGAAAAUUGGGAGGCUCAACCUCUUCGAGCCGUUGAAACUGGUUUUCUUGAGGGAGCGAGAAGUAUGCGGAAUGCGUGGUGUAGCGGUGAAAUGCAUAGAUAUCACGCAGAACUCCGAUUGCGAAGGCAGCAUACCGGCGCUCAACUGACGCUCAUGCACGAAAGUGUGGGUAUCGAACAGGAUUAGAUACCCCUGUAGUC